rnacentral:rRNA from 1 species
CUUGCUUGGGUACUCGAGUGGCGAACGGGUGAGUAACACGUGGGUGAUCUGCCCUGCACUUCGGGAUAAGCCUGGGAAACUGGGUCUAAUACCGGAUAGGAACCGUCUUUAGUGUGGUGGUUGGAAAGUUUUUCGGUGCAAGAUGAGCUCGCGGCCUAUCAGCUUGUUGGUGGGGUAAUGGCCUACCAAGGCGUCGACGGGUAGCCGGCCUGAGAGGGUGUACGGCCACAUUGGGACUGAGAUACGGCCCAG